rnacentral:rRNA from 1 species
CCUACGGGGGGCAGCAGUGAGGAAUAUUGGUCAAUGGCCGUAAGGCUGAACCAGCCAAGCCGCGUGAAGGACGAAGGUGCCAAGCAUUGUAAACUUCUUUUGUCAAGGGACAAAAUCAGGCUCGAGACCCUGACCGAGGGUACUUGAAGAAAAAGCAUCGGCUAACUCCGUGCCAGCAGCCGCGGUAAUACGGAGGAUGCGAGCGUUAUCCGGAUUUAUUGGGUUUAAAGGGUGCGUAGGCGGACUGUUAAGUCAGCGGUAAAAGCCCGGGGCUCAACCCCGGCCGGCCGUUGAAACUGGCUGUCUUGAGGUGUCGUGGGGUAUGCGGAAUGCGCAGUGUAGCGGGGAAAUGCUUAGAUAUUGCG